GCCCAGGUGACGGAAUUGGCAUACGUGCCAGAUUCAGAAUCUGGAUUCUGCGGGUUCGAGGCCCGCCCUGGGCACCA
rnacentral:tRNA from 1 species